UACGUAGGUGGCAAGCGUUGUCCGGAUUUAUUGGGCGUAAAGCGAGCGCAGGCGGAAUGAUAAGUCUGAUGUGAAAGCCCACGGCUCAACCGUGGAACUGCAUCGGAAACUGUCAUUCUUGAGUGCAGAAGAGGAGAGUGGAACUCCAUGUGUAGCGGUGGAAUGCGUAGAUAUAUGGAAGAACACCAGUGGCGAAGGCGGCUCUCUGGUCUGCAACUGACGCUGAGGCU
rnacentral:rRNA from 1 species